rnacentral:tRNA from 1 species
UGACCAUAUAGUUUACUUAAAACAUUACACUUUCUCUGUAAAGAUAACCAGCUUUGGUUUAUGGUUAA